UACAGAGGUCCCAAGCGUUGUUCGGAUUCACUGGGCGUAAAGGGUGCGUAGGUGGUUGGGUAAGUUUGAUGUGAAAUCUCCGGGCUUAACCCGGAAACUGCAUUGAAUACUAUCUGGCUAGAGGGUUGGAGGGGGGACUGGAAUACUUGGUGUAGCAGUGAAAUGCGUAGAUAUCAAGUGGAACACCAGUGGCGAAGGCGAGUCCCUGGACAACUACUGACACUGAGGCACGAAAGCUAGGGGAGCAAACAGG
rnacentral:rRNA from 1 species